UGCUUUAAGGUUUGCAUAGAACUUCACGUACAUAAUGUCAUUUUCUCCUCCCUAGAGAACAUGAGAUCCAAGAGAACAUUCACAGAAGAUCACGGGGAAGAAGAGAAAGUGGCGAGAGACAUUGGCCAGAUGGGAGCAUGAGAGAGGAUCCCAGAGCAGGGUUUUUACUGUUACUGCACCAAAGGUAGAUGUGAUCUGUAUACUCAGGGAGCUAGCUGGUCUGUCUGCAAAUAACAACAACAACUCUAAUGGAAGCCUGGAGUGAGAAAUUGUCCCCUUCAUACUCUUGUAGCCCUGGGGAUUUGCUGACUGACAAGCUGGGCUCAAACACCAUCCAGGCAAAAUAGAGAAAGAGGCUGUGCUUUGGAGAGGGCCAAACGGAUUCCUAAGCCAAGGACAGCAGCUUCUGAGGGAUGAGCUUCAGGUAUUAAUUUUUUGUUGUUCCUGGGAGAUACAAGCAGAGGCUC
rnacentral:lncRNA from 1 species